UACGUAGGUGGCAAGCGUUGUCCGGAUUUACUGGGCGUAAAGGGCGUGCAGGCGGUUCGUUAAGUCUAGGGUGAAAGCUCCCGGCUCAACUGGGAGAGGUCCUUGGAUACUGGCGGACUCGAGGAAGGUAGAGGAGAGUGGAAUUCCCGGUGUAGUGGUGAUAUGCGUAGAUAUCGGGAGGAACACCAGUGGCGAAGGCGGCUCUCUGGGCCUUUCCUGACGCUGAGACGCGAAAGCGUGGGGAGCGAACCGG
rnacentral:rRNA from 1 species